UACGUAGGGCGCAAGCGUUGUCCGGAAUUAUUGGGCGUAAAGAGCUCGUAGGCGGCUUGUCACGUCGGGUGUGAAAGCCCGAGGCUUAACCUCGGGUCUGCAGUCGAUACGGGCUAGCUAGAGUGUGGUAGGGGAGAUCGGAAUUCCUGGUGUAGCGGUGAAACGCGCAGAUAUCAGGAGGAACACCGGUGGCGAAGGCGGAUCUCUGGGCCAUUACUGACGCUGAGGAGCGAAAGCGUGGGGAGCGAACAGG
rnacentral:rRNA from 1 species